rnacentral:rRNA from 1 species
GUCGGGAAUUUUGGGCAAUGGGCGAAAGCCUGACCCAGCAACGCCGCGUGAGCGAUGAAGGCCUUCGGGUCGUAAAGCUCUGUCGGGAGGGAAGAAGACUCUCUGGGUGAACAAUCCAGGGGGGAGGACGGUACCUCUAGAGGAAGCGCCGGCUAACUCCGUGCCAGCAGCCGCGGUAAUACGGAGGGCGCAAGCGUUGUUCGGAAUCACUGGGCGUAAAGCGCGUGUAGGCGGCUUGGUAAGUCGGGUGUGAAAGCCCGGAGCUCAACUCCGGAACUGCACUCGAAACUGCCUCGCUGGAGUCCCGGAGAGGGUGGUGGAAUUCCCGGUGUAGAGGUGAAAUUCGUAGAUAUCGGGAGGAACACCAGUGGCGAAGGCGGCCACCUGGACGGUGACUGACGCUGAGACGCGAAAGCGUGGGGAGCAAACAGGAUUAGAAACCCGAGUAGUCC